UAGACACCAUCGCCCUCCUCCCCAACCCAUCCCACCCCACGCCCCGCCCCAACUCUUCCCACCGCUCGAGGUCAACUGUCCUGUGGUGCGGACCCCCGACUCCCUGCCCCCAAGCUUGGGCUCCCCUCUGGGAUUUUGCGGGUGUCGGGGUCUCCAGAGAGAGAAGGGCACUCCAGCAAAACAAGCCUCUUGGGGCCAAUCAGGGCAGCAUUUGUGAGCAUGCACGCCCCAUAGCAUCUCACUCCAGAAGCUCCACUCCAAGCCUGCCUUUGAAGUGUUAAAGAUGUUCAAUUGGUUUGUGAAAAAACGGAUCUCCCCAUCUCUGAAAGACUUCUGACAAAAAAUUCUAUCCACCGCCGGAGAAAGAACUGAGUCCAAAGGACUUCAGAUUUGAAUGCACCAGGACGUAGCUACAAGACUAUCUACUAUAUAAAGGAACCCUAUUUAAGACUUGAAGUGCCUCUGGUGAGCUCCUUCAAGGUUUAUCCAUUGGAUGACAUUGAUAGCAUCAAAGAAUCUUAGACCUUCAAAUCUGUAAAGAACUUUUGAGUCCCUUAAGAAGAGAAAAGAAGGAAAAAAGAAAAGAAAAAAAGAGAAAGAUCCCCCAAAUUGCUCUCUGAGGUCCUGAAGAGAAAGGCUGGAAGGCUGAGGAUGGGAAAAUGAGUCCGAGAUGGAUGGACCAGAUGCCUGCUGGGAGAAGCAUUUGAACCAGUUUACCAGAAUCAGGCAAAAGAUAACUUGAAAAUUAGUCAGCAAGCCCCUGUACUCUUUGUGUCAAGCCCCAAGAGUAGGACAGCACCUCAUCACUGAGAUCUACAACCAUCCAGAAGUGUUCGGUCAACAAUCUAAAGAGGAAAACUCAAAUGGAUGAAAAAUGUUCAUAAAUAAGAGCUGACAUUUAUCCCAUACUCAAAGGCUUGCAAACCAAUUUUUCUAUGCAUUAUCUCAAUUGAUCAUCACAACAAGCCCAGUGAAGUAAGUGGUUUGAGUAAAUCAUGCUCCAGAGUGGAAUCUCUGUUUCCCCUUUAUUAUAUGGUGGGAAUUAAAUGUGAGUUUUUAGACUUGGUCAAUGUGAGGCUUAGCUUUUUAAACUAUGUGUAUUUGUUCAAAGUUGUUUUUUUUUAAUUUGAUGGGUAUCUUGGAGAAAUUAGGGGAAUUCUGUGAUAAGACCGAAAAAAAAGAGUCAUCAAAGCACUUUCUUCCAAUGCACAGAGAGAUCAAAUGGAAGUCCAGAAAGAAACACAAUCAGCACAGCUUUGGAAGUCACACAUUUAUUAUAUGGUUAAGAGGAAAAGCAA